GUGUAGAGGCGGCAGGGUAGCCUAGUGGUUAGAGGGUAGAGGCGGCAGGGUAGCCUAGUGGUUAGAGGGUAGAGGCGGCAGGGUAGCCUAGUGGUUAGAGGGUAGAGGCGGCAGGGUAGCCUAGUGGGUAGAGGCGGCAGGGUAGCCUAGUGGUUAGAGUGUAGAGGCGGCAGGGUAGCCUAGUGGUUAGAGGGUAGAGGCGGCAGGGUAGCCUAGUGGUUAGAGGGUAGAGGCGGCAGGGUAGCCUAGUGGGUAGAGGCGGCAGGGUAGCCUAGUGGGUAGAGGCGGCAGGGUAGCCUAGUGGUUAGAGGGGAGAGGCGGCAGGGUAGCCUAGUGGUU